AUACAGUGCAGUCACGUAAUUAUGAUUCUUAACUGCACGAUAAUAAACUGUAUACAUCACUCUACUCGGCUAUAAUAAGAAAAAGGAGCAGGUACCGAUCUAGUUAGAGCCAACAUCUGAGAAUAUCCAUGGCUUACCGGACAAUUUUAACAAAAUGAAGUCAUUUCAGUUCAGAAUAAAUCACCUGAAAUUCAUUGAGUAACCUCAAUUUUCACAAGUGCAUUUUAAUACUCAGCAAAAUUCAGGAUUAUUUUCGAUAAAAAUAGGGUCAAAUCUGGUGAUAUGUUCACCUUUUUGCGCGUCUCAAAAACAAAAUUCCGGGGUAGUGAAGAUCAAAUCCGCGGCAUUAUUAUCUAGCUGUAUAAAUAGGACGGGGCUUCCGAACAGCUGAAACAGAUCUGGGACAUUAAGAAAAUAGGCAUGUUAAAGAUCUUUUUAUUGGCGGCCGUUUCAGCGGUCGCAUUGGCAGAUGAUUCCUAUGUUGUGCUGACACCAAGUAGUUUUCGAGGUGGCAUUCCUCUGAGUGUCAGUGUAAAUAUUCUUAAGGCGACUGCGCCGGUAAGUGUAACAGCAACAUUGGUCAAUGAGGGCAAAAAGACAACCGUCGCUUCCGUUACUGGAUCAUUUACACAAGGUAAAACUUUGUAAAUAUAUUGUU
rnacentral:lncRNA from 1 species